GCCCUUUCUAAUUAACUAGGUCUACCCCUUUAAGCGUCGGUCUCAGUGAGCGUCGCUCCAGAGGGAACGCGCCCACUGCGGAGACCGGUUUUUUCCGGCCCCAGAAGGCCCCGACCCCGCCUCUCUCGCUGUCUCGGCCGCUUCACGAUUUACUUCGAAGUGCCACCAGGGUAUUUAAUUAAUUAAUUGGACUACCAGACAAGGAUCAUCUGCCCAUUUCCAGGAGCCUUUCCAGGGAGCUCUGGUGAUUUCUGGUUACUCCAGCAUCUACUUUUGCUGCCACUGCUAGUUCAAACACCAUGCUAUUUACCCCAUUUUCAGAUUCUUCUAUCUGCACUGCUGCUACUGGGCCCUCAUUUGAUGCCCCAGUAACUUCCACUGGAAUGUUUGGUGAUACAUCUUUGGGAUUUGGAUUAAGUUUCUCUGGAGCAUAUGGAGCAGCUGCUGUUGCAUCUAGUAAGAUUUUACGAUUAUUGGGAUGUAUUUGGAUGCUCACUGGAAAUGUAACAACAGUAAGUAGGUUGUAUUCCGUAGUUUCUAGGAUUCAGUUGGUUUUGAUCAUCUCAUCGGAGUAUCCAAAAGGUACAUCAAUGUUGAGAAUUGUCGAAGCGUGGAAGGACAUAGUUGAUACCAAUGAUAUUACUUCUUUUAGAUGACUAUAAUCAGAG
rnacentral:lncRNA from 1 species